rnacentral:misc_RNA from 1 species
GGGAGGGCUCCAAGUUUACACCAUUUGGAUUGGGGAGAAGGGCUUGUCCAGGAGCAGGCCUAGCCCAACGUGUUGUGAGUUUGGCUUUGGGAACGUUGAUUCAAUGCUUUGAAUGGAAGAGGGUCACUCAUGAGGAAAUUGAUAUGAUGGAAGGCAGAGGGUUCAUCAUGCCGAAGCUUGAGCCCCUAGAAGCCAUGUGCAAAGCUCGCCCAAUUGUCAAGAAUAUUCUCUCUUAAUUAGUUUAAUAUUGCUGAAAUAUGAAUGUUUU